CCCCUGGGUAGUCUGUCUGGUCGAUGAUUCGUCGAUCGUUCUCUUCAGCCUACCUAUGCGAUCCAUAGUCUGGGGCUCCGAUCAGCCGUCUGCCUUAUCCGGGGUCCACCUGAUUGUCCCUCAGUCGGGGUAACGUGCUCGUCUGGCUCAGUGUGAUCGGCGAUCGCUGCGUCUCUCCUUAGCUGGCGAUGAAUGGCUGCUGGCGGAGCCGCUAAGAGCCGAGCACCGGAGGCGGGAACCGGGGACAGCGGACCGCGGUGAGAGCAGGAGGACCAAACAGCGGCCUCUGUAUCCUCCCCCUCCGUCUGUCUCUUCCCACCUUCGCUUGUCAUCAUGUCUCAGACUCUGCAAAUGGAGAUUCCCAACUUUGGGAACAGCAUUCUGGAAUGCUUGAACGAGCAACGCCUCCAGGGUCUGUACUGCGAUGUCUCUGUGGUGGUCCGCGGUCACCAGUUUAAAGCCCACCGGGCCGUCCUGGCCGCCAGCAGCUCUUAUUUCAGAGACCUGUUCCACAACAGCAAGAACCCGGUGGUGGAGUUACCCGGUUCUGUCCAGCCGCAGUCUUUCCAGCAGAUCCUGAGCUUCUGCUACACCGGACGGCUCAGCAUGAAUGUAGGAGACCAGUUCCUGCUUAUGUACACGGCUGGCUUCCUGCAGAUCCAGGAGAUCAUGGAAAAGGGAACCGAGUUCUUCCUGAAGGUCAGCUCACCCAGCUGUGACUCGCAGGGUCUCCAUCCUGAAGAAACUCCCAGUUCUGAGCCACCAAGCCCCGCCACAACAGCAGCAGUUGCAGCAGCAGGUACGGUCAUGGUGCCUCUGUCCUCGACUACAUCUUACAACACUUCACGGCCUCCCCGGGUUAAGACGGAGAGCCAGGAGUCAGAAGCUGUUCAGUGCACCCCCGUGGCCAAGAGACUGUGGGAUGGGGGACAGAAAGACGCAGGAGGAGCCAAUAGGAAGGUGGCACGUUUUUCCCAAGGAGCCGGUACUGGACCUGGUGGGCCAUCAGGGGGAGCAGGAACGGCUGCAAUGGGUUCGGAGAGGACCAGCCCGGGAACAUCCAGCGCAUACACAAGUGACAGCCCAGGGUCUUAUCACAAUGAGGAGGAUGAAGAAGAGGAGGUUGGAGAGGAUGGGACAGAAGAACAGUACCGACAAAUCUGCAACAUGUAUACAAUGUACAGCAUGAUGAACGUCAACCAGGCCGGUGAGCGAGCCAAUGGUGGCAUCAGUAGCGAAUAUUCUUUGAAUUCUUCAGCUGAGAAGGUGGAGGCUUUGCCUGAUCCGGUCUUCUCAGACUCGAGGAACCGCGUUCGUGUCAAGCAGGACCUGGCCACACUACCAGCUGAGCUCAUCAGCCAGAUCGGGAACCGUUGUCAUCCAAAACUCUACGAAGAAGGAGAUCCUGCUGAGAAGAUAGAACUGGUGACGGGAACCAAUGUGUUUAUCACCCGUGCUCAGCUGAUGAACUGCCAUAUUAGCGCCGGAACACGCCACAAGGUCCUACUUCGCCGGUUACUGGCCUCCUUCUUUGACAGGAACACUUUAGCAAACAGUUGUGGAACAGGAAUCCGCUCGUCCACCAACGACCCCAGUAGGAAGCCCCUGGACAGCCGAGUGUUGCACGCUGUGAAGUUUUACUGUCAGAAUUUUGCCCCGAAUUUUAAGGAGAGCGAGAUGAACGCCAUUGCAGCGGACAUGUGCACAAACGCCCGGCGCGUGGUGCGCAAGAGCUGGAUCCCAAAGCUGAAGCUGCUGAUGGCCGAAGGAGACGCUUACACGUCUUUCAUCAACGACACCGGCAAAAUGGAGCCCGACCUGAUGGGAGCGGCCACUGGCGGAGAUCACGGCACCGGCUUCGACGGUGAGCCAGGCGAGGGGAUGCCCUGAUAACCCUUCUGUACGGGGCCCACACAUGUAAAUACCGCCCUCUGUCUUGGCCGAGGGACGAGGGCGUAGAGGACAAUGUGGCACUCAGGAGGUGGACUGUAAUCUAAACGCCGCAGUAGGAGGUGCUGAGUAUGACUGCGUGCUGCUGCACGGACUAGAGACUGGUGUGGAGGUACUCGGUAUCGCUAUACACUGCUGCAUGAGGUACUCGGUAUCAUUUAGCGCCCCGUGUUCCAUUAUCAGUAUAGAGUUAUACGCAGUGUCAUUAUAUAGCGCCGCGUGUACAUUAUCAGUGUAUAGAGAUACUCCGCAUAGUCAUACAGCACAUCAAAGGUCGUAGAGCUGAAGCUGAGAUUCACUUGUAAAUAGAUACUUUGCGUCAUUUUAUAGUGCAGUCGCGGUAGAAGUACGGUAUUCUCACGGGCCAACCGAUAACCCAAGUCCUGCAUCCCUGCUGCGAGAUUUAGCGUUUUUUUUUUUCUUUUUAGUAUUUUUUUUUUUUCAAGCCCCUCCUGCCACACCCCAAGAAGGAGUCGAAGGUCGCCCCUGAGCAUGCUGGCUGCGCACAAAAAGCCUGGCGUGCUCGGGCCUGAAACCAGCUUGACCCAUAUAUGCUUUAGCUUGCAAGGUCAAUACUGGUGUUGCACAAGCUCUUUCAAUAAGAAGUAAAUAUGGAAGAGCGCCCACCACCUAAAGCAGCCAGAUUUCCGCGUUUUUUUUUUUUUUUUAGUCAAAUCACUGAACGAUUUCUUCUGAUUGGUUGCUGUGGGUCACCGUACUUAGUUGAUGUAGCUCCAUAGACUUAAUUUUCUUAACUGCACUAGAAGAAAGAGCUAGAUGCUCGCUUGUUGCUGUCUUUAUACUGCGCUCCAGGGUUCGAAGGAUGAUCUCCAGGCCUGUUCUUGGCUCUUGCAAGCAGAGUUUCCAGCAUUAUGUAUAGAAAUCGUGUGUAGUCCUAAUAAACACUAUAUUCAGUAAGGUAAAGCGUGGAGAUUGCCACAUCUCAACUAAGAAUUUCCGAAGAUGCAGUUGAGUUUUUUUUUUUUUCAAAAAUACAAGGGCUGCCAUUGGGUUUGACUGACCUGCCUGCACCGUGCAUGUCUUGCUGUACAUAUAUCUGUAUAUAUAGUAACCUCUCUUCUUCCCACAUGUAGGUUUCUCAGUUUAGCUGAGCCCUGCUUUUGGGCUGUAACAGGAUGUAAAUAAUUUGAAUUAAUAUUUUUGCAGGCAAAGGGGGUGGGAAUGGAAAUCUGAAAAGAAGCAGCCCUUAGGCGAUCUGUUUUAUUUUUUAUUUUUUUUAAUAUAUGCAAAAGUGCGCGAGGCUGCACAAGCAUAUGUUGUUUUUUUUUUUUAUUAUUAUUUUUGCUUUUGUUUGCAUUUGCCAAAUUUAGAUUUUUUUUUUUUUCACUAGUGAUCACAUCCACCAUUUUCACAGUAGUUGCUUAGAAAAAAAAAGGAAGAUUCAACAUAUUUUAAACAUGUAUAUUUUAUAGGCCUUUCUGUUACAUAUGAAAAUUUGCAGCAGUUGCUUGGUAAUUUUGUGUAGUACUUGCUCACAAACACUAGAUGUCGCUGUCAACGUGCUGCCUUGGAAUAGCAACAUGUGCAGGAAACGACAAGAGCAGGAGGGUGUAAUACCUGACACUAACACUAGAUGGUGCUGUGAUGGCACGUGGAUUAUUUAGGACUGCUGAGAACCGUGUGCUGGGAUUUGUAGUUCUGCAGAAUGGGAUUUGCCAGAUACAAUGCCGUCUUUUGGACUUCUUCAGAUUGGUUGCUUUUUGGCUAACCCUUGCGUUCCUGGUUUAUAAAUGAUUUGCAUAGUGCCAGCUUCUGAAUGUGAGCAUGUGCUACACCCACAAUUGAUAUGUCAAAGUUUUUUUUUUUUUUUUUUUCUGAUGAAAUUGCACAAUUUUAAUGGAUGAAGUUACCUUUUUUUGUUUCAACCAGUCCUAUAAAAUGUAAUGUUGAUGAAGGAAAAAAAGUGAUUCUUCCCUUGUUGGCAAUAAAAUAGACAAUUUCACAGACAGACUGGUACAUUUUUGGAAUGACUCAUUAG